UCCGGGCUAAACGACGCGGAACAAGCGUUAUUGUAUCAAGUUACACUUCCGCGGUAGUAAAAGCGUGCCAUUGCGACCGUGCGCGCGGCAAUUGUUAGAACAUAGUGCGGCCGCGAAGAGAGACGGCCAACAUUCGAGCCGAGUAGUAAAAGUUUGUGGUAAAUGUUAUUGCAGUCUGCCUAGCUACCGCUCUUUCGAGUAACUUCGGGUUUAUAAACAUUACCACAAUCUGUUACCGCAAUCGAGAAGGGCUAAACAACGGAACCUCCCUUUCGGGGUAGCGUCCCCAGGGUGUAAAAUGUAAAUCGGGAGGAAAAGUGAAACUGCUUCAAUCCAUAGCUGCUUAUCAAGUGUGUUUAUAACUAUCAUAGUGCAUUCUGUGUAUCAUUGAUGCAACAAUUUACGAGACGGGCCAGGGGUACUCGUAUGUACACGAAAACGGGCAGCUGACCCGCCAUCAGCAGUUCAGAGAGAGCUAUAUGAAACCCUGACGUGGCUGGCAGGGCUGUAAUUGUCGCCCUUUGUCCGUCAUACGAGCCAGCAGCCCCCACGGUAGCGGUGAACCGCAAGCUUUCCGGGCCUCGCCGGAACCGCUGGAUCCGCGCCGGUAUUAUCGCAUCAGCUGACGGCGAUUCUUCGAAUUGGUGGUCGAAAUUGCUGUAAUGAGUUACCGAACCUGCUCGUAUAAGUACGCUUAGAUAUUACAUGAGUUUCGCGUUUUUCCCUGGGCCCAACUGUUCCCGUUUCGGUUCCAGUCCGUCGUGGACAUAAAUACACCGGACGAGGACCUCCGCCGAAUGUUGCGAGGUAUUAUGAAAAUCCAUAAACUAACGUUCGGCCAUGUUCAGCUGGCUAGAGGUUUAGCCGGGUCUAAGCCGAUCGAUAUAGCGCCGAUGCGAACUGUUUCAGACGUUUAUACACAAACCUGUGGUCGGAUCGCCGGCGAGACUACCGUAAAAACCGCGAAUCUGAUAUUUGUCCUCGAAUAAAAGUUGGAUCGUUAUUUUCGUUUUCCAGACGCUCCGAUUGAUUUUCUAACAAUAAACUCAGAUCUCUAUUUCUUUUAUUGUUUCUGUCAUGUCGUCAGGCAAAUAAAGAUACUCAAG